ACCAAUUGGCAAUGAGAUGGUUUCAACAAAACCAUCAACUAUAAUAUCUUUCACUGUCGUGUGCCUGUCCAGCGAUGCUUCCCAUCCUUCGUCAGUUGCAUCCGCAUCAGAACUGCCGUCUAAGGAUGUACCGUGAAAUGGCAAUCCUGUCAAUUCAGCAAAAUCUUCAAAAGACAUUGAUAACCUUUUACCUUUAAUCUGAGUCUUGAAUCCCUUAUCAGUAAGCUUGAAGUUUGCCUAAAACUCCCUUAUCAAUUUUGGAUAACUGUCCAAAGUAGAUGAAAGAAAACCUUCAAGACCAUGAAAUCUCAAAUGAUCUUGGAAUGUGAAGCCUUCUGUAUCGAAGUAGGCAAAAUCCAG
rnacentral:lncRNA from 1 species